CAGAACGAACGCUGGCGGCGUGCUUAACACAUGCAAGUCGAACGCGAAGGGGACUUCGGUCCUGAGUAAAGUGGCGCACGGGUGAGUAACGCGUAGAUAACCUGUCUUUAUGUCUGGAAUAAUACGCCAAAGGGGUACUAAUACCGGAUAUUUUUGCAUUGCAUAAGCAGUGUAAGCAAAGGUGGCCUCUGACAUAAGCUACUGCAUAAAGAGGGGUCUGCGUACCAUUAGCUAGUAGGUGGGGUAAAGGCCUACCUAGGCUACGAUGGUUAGCGGGUCUGAGAGGAUGAUCCGCCACACUGGCACUGGAACACGGGCCAGACUCCUACGGGAGGCAGCAGUGAGGAAUAUUGCGCAAUGGGGGCAACCCUGACGCAGCGACGCCGCGUGAGUUGAGGAAGGCCUUCGGGUCGUAAAGCUCUGUCAAAGGGAAAGAAGUGCAUGGUGGUUAAUACCUGCCAUGUUUGACGGUACCCUUAAAGGAAGCACCGGCUAACUCCGUGCCAGCCGCUGC
rnacentral:rRNA from 1 species